rnacentral:rRNA from 1 species
UCUUUUGAUUUUUAUAUAAGAUCGGACCUGCCCAUUGAUUUAAAAGAAUUAAAAGGCUGCGGUAUUUUAACUGUACGAAGGUAGCAUAAUCAUUUGUCUUUUAAUUGGAGGCUGGAAUGAAUGGUUUGAUGAGAAAUAAGCUUUCUUUUUUUUAUUAAAUUGAAUUUAAUUUUUUAGUUAAAAAGCUAAAAUUUUUUUAUAGGACGAGAAGACCCUAUAGAAGUUUACUUUAUUUAUUAAAUAUAAUUUUUUGUUAAUAAAAUUAUUUUUUAGAAUAUAAAGUUUUGUUGGGGUGACAUUAAAAUUUUUUAAACUUUUAAUAUUUUUAUCAUAAAUUUAUGUUUUUUUUGAUCCAGAAUUUUUGAUUAUAAGAAUAACUUACCUUAGGGAUAACAGCGUAAUUUUUUCGGAGAGUUCAUAUU